rnacentral:lncRNA from 1 species
AUAAGUCUAGAAAACUACGGUCCCAGGCCAUUUUUGUUGGUUAUAAGUGGGUUCCAGAACCAAAGGCAGCACACAGCUCUUCCUAAAAUUGAAGGUGGUUUAUGCCCAAGAUGAAACUGAAUUCUAUUUGGGCAAGAGAUGUGCUUAUGUAUACAAAGCAAAGAACACCACAAUAGCUCCUGCAGCAAACCAAACCAAACCAGAGUAAUUUGGGGAAAGAUAACUUGGACACAGAGACAGUGGCAUGGUUCGUGCCAAAUUCUAAAGCAAUCUUCCUGUUAAGGCCGCUGGACACAGAAUCCAUGUGAUACUGUGUCCCUCAAGGCUU